rnacentral:rRNA from 1 species
GUGCACGCUGGCGGUAGGCCUAACCCAUGCCAGUCGAACGGCAGCACCGUAAGAGCUUGCUCUUACGGGUGGCGAGUGGCGGACGGGUGAGGAAUACAUCGGAAUCUACUUUUUCGUGGGGGAUAACGUAGGGAAACUUACGCUAAUACCGCAUACGACCUACGGGUGAAAGCAGGGGAUCUUCGGACCUUGCGCGAUUGAAUGAGCCGAUGUCGGAUUAGCUAGUUGGCGGGGUAAAGGCCCACCAAGGCGACGAUCCGUAGCUGGUCUGAGAGGAUGAUCAGCCACACUGGAACUGAGACACGGUCCAGACUCCUACGGGAGGCAGCAGUGGGGAAUAUUGGACAAUGGGCGCAAGCCUGAUCCAGCCAUACCGCGUGGGUGAAGAAGGCCUUCGGGUUGUAAAGCCCUUUUGUUGGGAAAGAAAAGCAGCAGGUUAAUACCCCGCUGUUCUGACGGUACCCAAAGAAUAAGCACCGGCUAACUUCGUG